CCCUUAGAUGUCCUGGGCCGCACGCGCGCUACACUGAGUGUCUGAGAUACGAGUCUGCCUGGUCCGGCAAGGUCUAGGUAAUCGCUAAAAGACACAUCAUGCUUGGGAUAGAUUAUUGCAAAUAUUAAUCUUGAACGAGGAAUUCCUAGUAAGCGCAAGUCAACAGCUUGCGUUUAUUACGUCCCUGCCCUUUGUACACACCGCCCGUCGCUACUACUGAUUGGAUGUUUAAGCGAGGUUCUCGAACUGCUAGCGACUUAGCUUCGGUGAGGUCGCAGUGUGGGAAGUGAGCCUAGCUUUGGUGUCUAGAGGAAGUAAAAGUCGUAACA
rnacentral:rRNA from 1 species